rnacentral:rRNA from 1 species
GAUGAAUGUGCGGAUGAAGUUGAUUAGGUCCGAAAGAAUCCGUGCCGGUUAGAUUGGAUACAAGUUCGUAACAAGGUAACCAGUAGGUGAACCUGCCGCUGGAUCAAUAAUCGGAAUGUUUGGGUUUUUAUAUGUGGGUAACACAUCAUGUUCGAAGGAUCGAUUGGCAUUGAGGACGACGAAGAACGCAGCAGCGUGCGAUAUUGGAAGAGUAUUGCAUUCUCAGUUCCGUGUUCGAAUGGUAGACAUGAUCUAUGACAACCCUUUGGACUUAAGCAUAUCAUUAGAAGGAGGAGAAGAAAACAACAGUGAUUCCGGCAGUAGCAGCGAGCGAAGUUGGAGCAGCCCAGAUGGUAAUGACGCAAUGCCAGUUGUAAGGGGAAGCGGGAAAUAUUCUGAAAUGAGUAUCCACAGAGGGUGAUAGACCUGUAGUGCAGUACCCGAGGUGUAGAGUAGCACUGUUUGGUAGUGCAGUGUGAAGGGGUGGUUGUAGGCACCCAAGGCUAAAUACAAUCAAUGACCGAUAGCGAAUAAGUACUGUGAAGGAAGCUAUCUGCUGUAGCGGCAGAGAGUGAAAUCGAACAUGAGGAAGGCAACAUGUUGCACCCGUCUUGAAACACGGACC